rnacentral:rRNA from 1 species
UACAGAGGUCCCAAGCGUUGUUCGGAUUCACUGGGCGUAAAGGGUGCGUAGGUGGUCGGGUAAGUUUGAUGUGAAAUCUCCGGGCUUAACCCGGAAAUGGCAUUGAAUACUAUUCGGCUAGAGAGUUGGAGGGGGGACUGGAAUUCUCGGUGUAGCAGUGAAAUGCGUAGAUAUCGAGAGGAACACCAGUGGCGAAGGCGAGUCCCUGGACAACUUCUGACACUGAGGCACGAAAGCUAGGGGAGCAAACAGG